rnacentral:ribozyme from 1 species
AUGAGGGGCAGGUCGGAGAGAGGGGCGAUUGAGGCUCUCGCCGAGAAUGUGCCGGACGACAAAUUUUUGACAGCUUUCGGAUCCCCAAAAACGGAGUUGCCGGCGCUGAUCGAGGGGAAGACGGCGAACAUCUCGAGGUUGAUGGAGUUGCAGGCUGCUGGAA